rnacentral:rRNA from 1 species
UACGAAGGGGGCUAGCGUUGUCCGGAAUCACUGGGCGUAAAGGGCGCGUAGGUGGCGCCGCAAGUCAACGGUGAAAGCUCGACGCUUAACGUCGAGUCGGCCGUCGAGACUGCGGGGCUCGAGCACUGUAGAGGCUCAUGGAAUUCCGGGUGUAGCGGUGGAAUGCGUAGAGAUCCGGAAGAACACCGGUGGCGAAGGCGGUGAGCUGGGCAGUUGCUGACACUGAGGCGCGACAGCGUGGGGAGCAAACAGG